rnacentral:rRNA from 1 species
UGGGGAAUUGUUCACAAUGGGCGCAAGCCUGAUGACGCAACGCCGCGUGGGGGAUGAAGGUCUUCGGAUCGUAAACCCCUGUCGAAUGGGACGAAAGACUCGCGAGUGAAUACUUCGCGAGAGUGACGGUACCGUUAAAGGAAGCCACGGCUAACUCUGUGCCAGCAGCCGCGGUAAUACGUAGGCAGCAAACGUUGUUCGGAGUUACUGGGCGUAAAGAGUACGUAGGCGGUUUGCCAAGUUUGGUGUGAAAUCUCCUGGCUUAACUGGGAGGGUGCGCCGAAUACUGGCAGACUUGAGUAUUGGAGAGGAAAGCGGAAUUCCUGGUGUAGCGGUGAAAUGCGUAGAUAUCAGGAGGAAAACCGGUGGUGUAGACGGCUUUCUGGACAAUCACUGACGCUGAGGUACGAAAGCGUGGGUAGCAAACAGGAUUAGAUACCCCCGUAGUCCCUGAGCGGGCUGGCAAGGCGCAU